rnacentral:rRNA from 1 species
UUGAAAAGAACUUUGAAGAGAGAGUUCAAGAGUACGUGAAACCGUUCAGGGGUAAACCUAAGAAACCCAAAAGAUCGAACGGGGAGAUUCAUCGUCAGCGGCGCUGGCUUCGCGUCGGUCGGCGAUGUCCCGCGGAGUCCUUGCGGCUCGCGCGCGGGCACGCUACCGUGCGCUGAUGUCCGGCGCUCGUCGUCGUGCACUUCUCCCCAAGUAGAACGUCGCGACCCGCUGGGUGUCGGUCUACGGCCCGGGUGCGGUGCCUGUCGCGUCGCCGGUAAAACGGCACGCGACAAACCCUCGGUCGCCCGGCCGGCUGCUCGGCGGUACGCGCAAGGUAUCAGGCCGCACUCUUUACGGUGCGUCGAGACCGUCGCAAGCGCGCGCCACGGUACUCGGAGGUUACGGACUUCGCGCCGUCCCCGGUCCUGGCCCGCUGUUGGUUACAGUACGGUACACCUUCGACAGGCCUGCAAACGUCUCCCGCGUUGUCGCGGGAGACCGAUACCGGUCGGCGACGCUACUGCUUUGGGUACUCUUAGGACCCGUCUUGAAACACGGACCAAGGAGUCUAACAUGUACGCGAGUCAUUGGGACUUGUCGCGAGACCUAAAGGCGUAAUGAAAGUGAAGGUCGGCCCUGGCCGUCGACCGAGGGAGGAUGGGCCGCGUCGCGAUGCGGCCUCGCACUCCCGGGGCGUCUCGUUCUCAUCGCGAGAAGAGGCGCACCCAGAGCGUACACGUUGGGACCCGAAAGAUGGUGAACUAUGCCUGGUCAGGACGAAGUCAGGGGAAACCCUGAUGGAGGUCCGUAGCGAUUCUGACGUGCAAAUCGAUCGUCGGAACUGGGUAUAGGGGCGAAAGACUAAUCGAACCAUCUAGUAGCUGGUUCCCUCCGAAGUUUCCCUCAGGAUAGCUGGCACUCGGCCGUUCCGCACGGAACGCGCGCGAGUCUCAUCUGGUAAAGCGAAUGAUUAGAGGCCUUGGGGCCGAAACGACCUCAACCUAUUCUCAAACUUUAAAUGGGUGAGAUCUCUGGCUUUCUUGAAUUAUGAAGCCACGAGCAUCUCGGAUCAGAGUGCCAAGUGGGCCAUUUUUGGUAAGCAGAACUGGCGCUGUGGGAUGAACCAAACGCAGAGUUAAGGCGCCCAACUCGACGCUCAUGGGACACCAUGAAAGGCGUUGGUUGCUUAAGACAGCAGGACGGUGGCCAUGGAAGUCGGAAUCCGCUAAGGAGUGUGUAACAACUCACCUGCCGAAGCAACUAGCCCUGAAAAUGGAUGGCGCUGAAGCGUCGAGCCUAUACUCUGCCGUCAGCGGCAAGUGGGGCGGCAAACGGGAGCGGGCGUUAGUCUCUCUCGCGUCGUCACGAAGCCCUGACGAGUAGGAGGGUCGCGACGGUGAGCGCAGAAGGGUCU